rnacentral:rRNA from 1 species
GAUGAACGCUGGCGGCGUGCUUAAUACAUGCAAGUCGAACGAAGAGCUUUGUAGCAAUACGAGGCUUCUUAGUGGCGAACGGGUGCGUAACGCGUUGGUGACCUGCCCCGAAGUGGAGGAUAACAGUUCGAAAGGACUGCUAAUACUGCGUACGAUCAUUGGGAUUAGAUGCCCGAUGAUGAAAGCCGAAAGGCGCUUCGGGAGGGGCCUGCGGCCCAUCAGGUAGUUGGUGGGGUAAUAGCCUACCAAGCCGAUGACGGGUAGGGGACCUGAGAGGGUGGUCCCCCACACUGGCACUGAAACACGGGCCAGACACCUACGGGAGGCAG